GCGUUACAAAGCAUUCAAAUGAACUUACUUCUUUCUUUCACAAGAUGGCGCUGCAGUCAUUGUUGGAGGGAGGACAAGAUGCAGCCUGAGAUGAGAAAUUAAAAGUCAUGAAACGGAUGUGACUAGUGGUUUUGUGUGCAGAGCUGCAAAGCAUCCACAACAGCAGGUUUUCAAGUGCAGUGCAUCAGACACAUCAACAACUGAAAGAGCUGCUGUCAACAGCAACAUCAGAAGAUGUGACUCCUGUCUGUUGGUGGUCAGCAACUCGGGCAUGUGCUCCCAGAAUAAAAUAUCAUCCUACAACUGCUUAUUCAGAGGCUGUGUCAGACAGAGACAGACAGAGCCAGCCAGAGACUUUCAUUGCUGCAGUUGUUAGUGGCUGCUAUACUAUACUGUAUGUUUUCAAAAUCUGCAAGGUUACUGGACGAAAUAAAGGUCUGGUUAGGGAUUACAGGUUCUGCAACCUUUGUAAUGACAACUGCCUGGGAGAUGUGGAUCACAUUUGUUUUAUUUAAGAAUUCAAGUAUAAUGAAUAAUAGGGAAAAGUACCUGCCAAAGUACAAUUAAAACCAUUCAUCUAUGUUUUAGGGUUGCAACUAAUGGUUGUUAUAAUUAUCGAUUUAUCUGCUGAUUAUUGUCUU